GCGGCGCCGCGGGGCCUUAGCGGACGGAGGGGAGCGCGGGGGUCACCGGGGCCGGGCCGGGCCGGGAGCCCUAGAGCUCGGCCUGGCGGGGACCCGGGGCCAGCCCCGCACCUCCGUGGCCCUGGCGCCUCGUGCGUGUCCACGAGCUCGCGUGCGCGCGUUACCUCGGACCGCAGCAUGGCUUGGAGGGCGGCCCUACUCGCGCCGCCCUAGUGCUGCGAAGGGCCUCGGAGCCCAAACCCGGAACCGCCAUCUGGGACUGGGAAGACGACCUGGCGAGAAGUCGACUGGACAGCCUGCACCACCCCGUGAUUCAUGGAUGGCCAUAGCCCAGAGCAGGAGCAGAUUUGCUUCCAGUUUGCCCUUCCUCCUAGAGUUUUGCUCUUGUCGCCCAGGCUGCAGGGCAAUGGCACCAUCUCCACUCACAGCAACCUCCGCCUCCCAAGUUCAAGCAAUUCUCCUGCCUCAGCCUCCCAAGUAGCUGGGAUUAUAGGCGCACCCACCACCACGCCUGGCUAAUUUUUGGAUUUUUAGUAGAGACGGGGUUUCACCACGUUAGCCAGGCUGGUCUCAAACUCCUGCCUCAAUCUCCCAAAGUGCUGGGAUUACAGGUGUGAGCCACCACGCCCAGCUGUUUAAUCUCUUUUUAAUAAAAUAUUUCAUUGUUAUCAUUUGAUUCUCAUAGCACCAUUUGAAGUAUACGAGCGGUGUUAGUCCAAUUUUAACACACUUGCUCAAUUCGUGGAAAAUGAACAGCAGAGCUGUUCUCCAGAGAUGUUCAGAUCCGCAGCCCAGUGCUUUUUUCCAUAUGAUCUUUACCCACAACAGCUCCGACUCCAAUUUUUUGAGUUUAUACCUGGAUCCUACACCACCCUUCUCCAGCCCUUUGGUCCUUGACAUUGUUUCUUUAUUCAUCUGCACCAAGGACUGAGGCAGAAGUAACAAUCUGUUUCAACAACGUCUACAUUCAGAACAUACUAGAAGAUACAGCACACUACUUACACGGAUCAGCAAUUCAGCAAUGUUCUCCUUUCAUUUCAUUGCUUAGAGCAUAUGUUGGUGGGAAGCUUGUUUGGUCAUAAAAAGAACUGCCGAGCACAGGUACGCUAUGGCCCUGCAGGUUCCUGGGGAGAGGCAACACAUCUUCUUUGGAGAGGACAGAUAAAUAUGUCCCCUCUGACACAACUACACAGACCCCUUUCCAAGCUCUGCAGCCAUCCUCCCCACCUAAUGAAAUAAAAUGUAGAUUUCUGUUGUUUAAUUGCACUUGAUAAAUCUUUUUUUUCUUUCAACCACUUUGAAUAAACUUAUAUAUUGUCAAUAAA
rnacentral:lncRNA from 1 species